rnacentral:misc_RNA from 1 species
UCGAGUUUUGGGUCGCCUCGCGCGCCCAACCUCCAACCCUUUGUGAACUGUUCGAUUGUUGCUUUGGCCGGGCGUUUUGGCGCCGGGCCAACAGCCCCAUCAAAUUCGUUUUGCAAUCUCUGUCUGACCAUAUUUUUAAUUAAAUCUAAUUA